rnacentral:ribozyme from 1 species
UGCCCAGCAACUCCUAUCCGUACCUCUUCGCGGUACUGGCAUGGAUACGAGCAACCUUGGGGAAGAUCGGGUAAUCAACACCGGUGGGGAAUUUGGCCGUAUGCUGACAGGGAAGA